rnacentral:miRNA from 1 species
ACCAACCCUCCUGGUUUGCCUGGGACUGAACGGUUUCCUGGGACGUGAGACUUUCAGUGCUAAAACCAGGACAGG